rnacentral:rRNA from 1 species
AUUGAACGCUGGCGGCAGGCCUAACACAUGCAAGUCGAACGGUAACAGGAAGCAGCUUGCUGCUUUGCUGACGAGUGGCGGACGGGUGAGUAAUGUCUGGGAAACUGCCCGAUGGAGGGGGAUAACUACUGGAAACGGUAGCUAAUACCGCAUAACGUCGCAAGACCAAAGAGGGGGACCUUAGGGCCUCUUGCCAUCGGAUGUGCCCAGAUGGGAUUAGCUAGUAGGUGGGGUAACGGCUCACCUAGGCGACGAUCCCUAGCUGGUCUGAGAGGAUGACCAGCCACACUGGAACUGAGACACGGUCCAGACUCCUACGGGAGGCAGCAGUGGGGAAUAUUGCACAAUGGGCGCAAGCCUGAUGCAGCCAUGCCGCGUGUAUGAAGAAGGCCUUCGGGUUGUAGAGUACUUUCAGCGGGGAGGAAGGGAGUAAAGUUAAUACCUUUGCACAUUGACGUUACCCGCAGAAGAAGCACCGGCUAACUCCGUG